rnacentral:rRNA from 1 species
UACGUAGGGUGCAAGCGUUAAUCGGAAUUACUGGGCGUAAAGCGUGCGCAGGCGGUUGUGCAAGACAGGUGUGAAAUCCCCGGGCUUAACCUGGGAACUGCAUUCGAGACUGCAUUGCUAGAGUAUGGGAGAGGGAAGUGGAAUUUCCGGUGUAGCGGUGAAAUGCGUAGAUAUCGGAAGGAACAUCAGUGGCGAAAGCGACUUCCUGGACCAAUACUGACGCUCAUGUGCGAAAGCGUGGGGAGCGAACAGG